rnacentral:tRNA from 1 species
GGAGGUUUAGCUCAGUGGCAUAAGCACCUGCCUUGCAAGCAGGCGGUCAUGAGUUCGAUCCCCGGUACCGUUU